rnacentral:rRNA from 1 species
UGGGGAAUAUUGGGCAAUGGGCGCAAGCCUGACCCAGCAAUGCCGCGUGAAGGAAGAAGGCCCUCGGGUUGUAAACUUCUUUUAUCAGGGACGAAGGAUGUGACGGUACCUGAUGAAUAAGCUCCGGCUAACUACGUGCCAGCAGCCGCGGUAAUACGUAGGGAGCAAGCGUUAUCCGGAUUUACUGGGUGUAAAGGGCGCGUAGGCGGGAUGGCAAGUCAGAUGUGAAAUGCAGGGGCUCAACCCCUGAACUGCAUUUGAAACUGUCGUUCUUGAGUACUGGAGAGGUUGACGGAAUUCCUAGUGUAGCGGUGAAAUGCGUAGAUAUUAGGAGGAACACCAGUGGCGAAGGCGGUCAACUGGACAGCAACUGACGCUGAGGCGCGAAAGCGUGGGGAGCAAACAGGAUUAGAUACC